rnacentral:tRNA from 1 species
CAAGGCGUAGCUAUAAACCCUAAAGCAUUCAGCUUACACCUGAAAGAUACCUUUACAAACAAGGUCGCCUUGA